rnacentral:ncRNA from 1 species
AGAAAAACAGUGAUUAGGAGUAGUAGUGGUUCAUACCCGAACUUAAAGAGAGUUGACGGCUGGUGGAAGUCAACCGGGUACAUCAUGAACUCGCCUUUGAGUUGCAGGCAUGAAGGUCAGUAAUGUUUGCCGUUUUCCGCGUUAAGGAUGAAUGAAGCGAGUGCAUGCAUGCACUAAUGUGGGUGGUACCGCGGGAAGAUACAUACAAUCCUCUCGUCCCUUUU